CAGGGCUGGGCCAGGCAGCGCAGGACCCGGGGGAUAAUCCGACCCAGCGUCGAGUCCAAUGCAUCAUCCUCCCAUCGUGGGCGCAGGAUCAAGGACUCCAAAUCCCCCAUUCUGUCAACUCCCCCCUCCCACGACAGGCCCUUAAGGAGGCCGCUUCCCUCCCUGCCCACAUUCAGAGAUGCUAGGAGACUCAAGAGGAAGCAGAUCUUUAAAAAAAAAAUUGCAGAGGCAAAACUCCCUGCAAAAGGGAGAGAAAAAAAGGGACUUUUCGUUCUAGUCAGAACCCGCCACUUGGAUGAGUGCAGUACAGCAACUGGUGGCUUUCACAGAUGGCAGGAGCUCCUCCUUUAUUUUGACACAACAUACAUUUAAUUGACAGCCCCGGGAGCAUGCAUGUGAGCAUCAGACUGCCCUGGAGAGAAAAGCAGAAAGGGACGAACUUAAGUGCUGAGAAAAAUGAAGAACUCAAAGCAGGAGAAAGAUUCGAAAGGGAAGAUGAGAGAAAAGGAAGUCGAGAUGGGAGUGGACAAGGAAAUACAAAAACACAAUAGGGGAGAGCAGAAAAAGCAUUUCAAAGGACUGGAUGGAAACAACCGGCCCAAGCAGAAACACUAAUCUAAGAACCAAUCCCUGCAACAAACGUUGUUGCCAACUCUGUCUACACAUCUACCCUGCUGACACCACAACAGGAUCUACCCUCAUCAAGCCAUACCCCAUUGAAGGCUUGUUCACCUGCACAUCUACUAAUCUGAUAUGUGCCUGCAAUGUACCUCUGCAUGAACAUUGGACAAAUCGGAUUGACUAUAUGCAAAAGAAUAAAUGGACACAAAUCAGAAAUCAAGAAUGGUAACACAAAAAAAGAAAACCUGGGGGGAGAGCACUUUAACCUGCCCGGACACACAAUUAUUGACUUGCAAGUUGCCAUUCUUAAGCAAAAAACCAAAAAACAAAAACAAAAAACCUGCAAAAACAGACUGCAACACAAAACUGCUAAACUGAAAUUUGUAUGCAAAUUUGACACCAUCAAAAGUGGUCUAAAUAGAGACAAGGAGUGGCUUUCUCAUUACAAAAAGUAAUUUCCCCUUCACAUACUUUCAUCUUCUCAUCGCUGUUGGAGGUGAGCCACAUCCACCCUGAUUUAUUUAGCACUCCCAUUUCUGAAUUCUUGUUUUUCCUCCUCUUCAAGCAUCUGAGGAAGUGAGUUGUAUCUCAUAUAAGCUUAUGCUCUAGUAAAGUGGCUAGUCAUUAAGGUGCCACCACACCCCUUGUUUUUGCUAAAAAGAACUAACAAGGCUACCUCUCUGAAUGCUGUCCAUAUUCAGCUGCAGACUUUUGAACGGAAACUAUAAUGUUUUGUUCAGAGCUACAAACAUUUCAGAGUUACAACCAAUUUCCAUUCUCUGCAGUUCUGCGGUAGUUUAACUGGUGUUAUGAGCAACUUGGAGGAAGGAUAAUAUAAAUCAGAGAAUUUUAGCAAAAACUACACCGAAUUUCUCCCCAAACUGGCUAAACUCCAUUGAAGAUUUUAGCUAAAAUUCUGCUUUGGUUUCUCAUUCAAUUUUUGACUUUAAUUGAUCCUUGCCUUAUUUGUGUUUUAAAACCAAAGAGCAUAAGACAAAGGAAAGGGAACCAUUCAUAAAUGUGAAUGAGACUACUAUGGGGACCAUAUGUUGGAGAAACCUCACAAUAAAAGGCAAACAGCAUGACCACAGCAAAAUCUCUUUCUAGUAGACAAUAUUCUGAGCAACUUUUACUUAUUGUUAAGGAUAGUUGUAGGUAUCUCAAAACAUGUUAAUUGUUAUGUCUUGAUUAUGACAACAUGGAGCUGUGGGUUAUGUUCUGGAUUUUCAUGCAGCACUUUACUCCCUGUAUUACUGUCAAGGAAGGCCAGUACCAGACUGGGAGCAUAUUGGAAGUGGGAUGAGAAGGCCUUGCUUGGAGAGCAUGACUAAUGUCUCCCACAUGACCUUUAUAGCCAAGCAAGGAGCAGCACCAUGCCAAGGAAAGUCACCACCAGAAAUCAUAAAAUCAUAGAACACUAGAACUGGAAGGGACCUCGAGAGGUCAUCAAGUCCAGUCCCCUGCCUUCACAGCAGGACCCAGUACCGUCUAAAUCAUCCCUGAUAGGUGUCUGUCUAACCUGCUCUUAAAUAUCUCCAAUGAUGGCGAUUCUGCAACCUCCCCAGGACAUUUUGUUGGGACUUCUUCAGUAACUCACAAGAAUGGACAAGAGUGUUCUUGAAUGGGAGAUCCCAACGGAUGGUUUGGAACAAUUGUUCUUCCCCCAACAAUCUCUCCUUUAGGAUCUGAUAUAAUCACCUGGUCUCUCCAGCACUGAUAGACAGUUAGGAGAGUUAGUGAGGAAACAGUGUGCAGUAUGUUCCAUAUGCUAAGAAUACUCCACUGCAUCCGAUCUGACUCAUACAGAGGAACCAAUAGCUCAGAAUCAGAGUGUAGAUGGUGCUAAGUUGGUUCCGGCUUAAUUCAGAUAAGACUGAAGCGGUUUCAUUGAGGGAAUGCACCUGCCAGUGACAGAUCAAGCUCCAAUUUCCGGAGUUUCAGAUGAUCAGACACCAGUUGUACCCAGAAAGGUUCUUUCCCCUCCUUGAACAUCUGGCCAGAAGAAUGUGGGCAUUUUUCUUAGGUGUAGACCUGGUGAGGCUACUGUCAUCCACGACUUUGGCACUUCAAGGCUGGACUGUGGCAAUGCAUUGCACAUGGGGGAUUGUGCAUUAGGAUCACAUGGAGGUAAAAGCUAGUUCAGUGUCACAGAUGUCUUAUUCGAUGAACUUUCUGAUGUUCCUGGAUGCUGCAUUCUUGACUGGUUUCUGGAUGGAGUUCAAGGACCUGUUCUUAUCCCUGAACGGUUUACACCCCAUUAGCUGUGGGACUGCCUCUCUCGCGGGGCCAUACUGACACCGUUGAGACCCUUGGGCUAUGUCUACACUCGUGGCUUCUUGCGUGAGAAAUAUGCAAA